UACGUAGGGACCGAGCGUUGUCCGGAAUUAUUGGGCGUAAAGAGCUCGUAGGCGGUUCUUUAAGUCGGAUGUGAAAUCUCAGGGCUUAACCCUGAAACCGCACCCGAUACUGGAGAACUUGAGGCAGGUAGGGGAGAUCGGAAUUCCUGGUGUAGCGGUGAAAUGCGCAGAUAUCAGGAGGAACACCGGUGGCGAAGGCGGAUCUCUGGGCCUGUUCUGACGCUGAGGAGCGAAAGCGUGGGGAGCAAACAGG
rnacentral:misc_RNA from 1 species